UUGGGAAACAGGUGCUAAUACCCGGAUAAGAAAGCAGAUCGCAUGAUCAAGCUUUUAAAAGGCGGGCGUAAAGCUGUCGCUAAUGGGGAUGGGCCCCCGCGGUGCAUUAGCUAGUUGGUAAGGUAAAGGCUUACCAAGGGCGAUGAUGCAUAGCCGAGUUGAGAGACUGAUCGGCCACAUUGGGACUGAGACACGGCCAAAACUCUACGGGAGGCAGCAGUAGGAAUCUUCCACAAUGGACGCAAGUCUGAUGGAGCAACGCCGCGUGAGUGAAGAAGGUUUUCGGAUCGUAAAAGCUCUGUUGUUGGUGAAGAAGGAUAGAGGUAGUAACUGGCCUUUAUUUGACGGUAAUCAACCAGAAGUCACGGCUAACUACGUGCCAGCAGCCGCGUAAU
rnacentral:rRNA from 1 species